CCCACGGGGUGCUGCAGUGGGGAAUAUUGGACAAUGGGGGGAACCCUGAUCCAGCCAUGCCGCGUGUGUGAAGAAGGCCCUCGGGUUGUAAAGCACUUUCAGUGAGGAAGAACGCCUGGUGGUUAAUACCCAUCAGGAAAGACAUCACUCACAGAAGAAGCACCGGCUAACUCCGUGCCAGCAGCCGCGGUAAUACGGAGGGUGCGAGCGUUAAUCGGAAUUACUGGGCGUAAAGCGCGCGUAGGUGGCUUGAUAAGCCGGUUGUGAAAGCCCCGGGCUCAACCUGGGAACGGCAUCCGGAACUGUCAAGCUAGAGUGCAGGAGAGGAAGGUAGAAUUCCCGGUUUAGCGGUGAAAUGCGUAGAGAUCGGGAGGAAUACCAGUGGCGAAGGCGGCCUUCUGGACUGACACUGACACUGAGGUGCGAAAGCGUGGGUAGCAAACAGGAUUAGAUACCCCAGUAGUC
rnacentral:rRNA from 1 species